rnacentral:rRNA from 1 species
AUAGCGUAUAUUAAAGUUGUUGCAGUUAAAAAGCUCGUAGUUGAAUUUCGGGAUCAGUUGAUCGGUCGUGCCUCGGUACGUACUGGUCAAAUUGAUUCCUACCUUCUGACGAACCACGAUGUCAUUAAUUUGGUGUCGCGGGAAAUCAGGACUGUUACUUUGAAAAAAUUAGAGUGUUUAAAGCAGGCUCGCGCUUGAAUACAUUAGCAUGGAAUAAUGAAAUAGGACGUUUGAUUCUAUUUUGUUGGUUUCUAGGAUCGACGUAAUGAUUAAUAGGGAUAGUUGGGGGCAUUAGUAUUCAAUUGUCAGAGGUGAAAUUCUUGGAUUUAUUGAAGACUAACUACUG